rnacentral:lncRNA from 1 species
UGAUCAUGAACUGAUUAGUUAAGAGAAGGAGAGGGGGCCAGACUCCAACAAAAGUCAGAUUUUGGUUGAAGUCAGAGAGAGGUUGUGAGAUUGCCAUCCCUUGACAUCUUUUUAAAAGUGAAUUGUUUAAUCACUUUUUUUUAAGCUGAUUUCUUAGCCAUCUUGCAGAAAUAUGAGGCAGGGGCACUUAUCCAUUAGGUACAGUAGGUAAGGUAACUAAGCCCAAUGACACCCUUAGCAGCCCAUGAAAAUGGUUUAGUUUCUUUCAUAAAAUGGUGCUGAAGAUAAUGAUAGUUGCAAAGGAAAAAAUACGGUAGACCAAUAUCAUAGUAUGUUACCAAGCAUAGGGCCUAUUAUUGGAAGCUAUUUCCAGUGCUCAGGAUAUUAACAUCUCCUGGAGCGUCUGCAAAACACAUCUUGAAGGCAGAACCAUAGUCCUCAAUUUGGCCUGCCUCUUUUAUUUGACAAUAAAGUUUUAUUUAUUUCUGAGCAUAAGAUUGGGAUUUUAUUUCUAGAAAAAGGGAGAAAAGGUGGAAGGAGGAGGAGGCAGGGAAAAGGUGGAAACUUGCCCAGGCCCAUAGCAGGAGCCCAACACAGGGAACACUUAAGCUUGUGUAGAGUACUUGUAACCAGAAGCCCGGAGGUGGAGCACAGCAGAGGAUGCAAUGUGCCACUGUCGCGGCCAGAGCCCAUGCAGUGUAAACAUUAACAUUCUUGGAUGCACUAAGCACUGGGCUGCGGUCUACACUUGCAUUCUGAGGUGGUGGAGUCAUGGCCAAAAUUUUGGAGUACUUGGACUUUUCUCAAGAAGCGUUGCACUUCUUGUCCGGACCGGGGAUUACCGCAGAUCGCAGCCCAGAGUCUGCGGAGGCGCACCGUUUCAUCAACAGCAGGGACUGAAACUUCAGCCCAGGAGAAGCCAAGAUGGCACCGUUAUCGCACCCUGGGAAUCGAGGACCGGGAAGAACUUAAUGAUGCGAUUCCUCCCGUGAUCUCAGUGAUUGUAUCAGGCGAAAACGAGGAGGGCAAAAUACCGUCCAGAUGUAAACUAGGAGCAGCCGCACCAGCAGCACCAGCAGAAUGCCGUGGUAGUGCGGCAGGCCCUGGCCCCAUGGACAAAGAGAAACUCGUCAGUGGCAGUGGCCACGAACUCAGAAAGCCUGAGGACAGUCAGCAGCUCCUCUGGCUCUUCACUUUCACACUGGUGCAACUACAGGAGCUGAAGAACAUUUUUCAACUCGUUCCAUACCCGGACGUGUUAGGUAAGUGGCAUGCUUAGGCGGCACCGACUUUUCACGGAGCAGGGGCUGGGCUCAGGGCUUAUUCUCUUUCCCCAGGCCCCUUCCAAACCUUUCUGAGCCAAAAGCUACCUAGGGGUUUCAAGGCUGCUGGGGCCUGUUUGCCCUUGGGCUUCAGGGUGGAGGCAAUGCCUCCUGGACACCAAGGUAAAUAUUUUCAAGCAACAUUUAAAUGAAUCAAGUGGGGAAACUUUGGCCUGAUAACUAGGUUUGUAUAAAUAGAAUUUGAUUGGAACAAGAACCAUGAUCAGGGUGAGGAGAGUAAGGCAUGGUCGUGCAAGUGGAUGGGCAAAUUCUGGUUUUAUGUAAAUAUUUGAUAAUUUGCUCAUAAUAUUUUUGAUUUUUCAGAGUAGUGCAAAAAGUGUUAUUUUUCUGGAAUCCUGAGUUUUUUUGUGCCCCCUUACAUUCACUAUGGGGGAAAAUCAUUCCUAAAGAAAGCCUCAAUCUGGAUAUUACAAAAUAGUGUACUCGGGGAGAGGUGUUGGGAGGUAAGUAUUUAAAAGCAAGCUUGAAAUGAACAACAUAAAUUUUGUUUCAUCCACAACUCUAAAUACUGAAUCUUUGUGGUUUUCUCUCACCAGAAAGGGACUUGUAAGAUGCAUGAGCAUGACUGAAACCAGUGUGCAGGUCACUAUACCUGAAAAAACUUAUUUGGCAGGGCAGCCAUUCUACAAUCUGCUUCAAGAGGAUCAGAUUCAUCAUUGGACUCCUGGACCUAUCACUGCGGACCUCAAAUGUGCACCUUUUAAGCCCUUUCCUUCACUCCUGACUGAUUGAUUUGGGAUCCACUGCUAAGUCAGACUUUUGAACCAUUGUUCCAGGCAAACUUCUGUUAAAGCUGAUGGAGUCUCCCUCUGUCGCCCAGGCUGGAGUGCAGUGGC